CCAUGGGUGAUGCUGGUAAGACACGCACCCCCAGGAAAACAAAAAACCCUACCAGGGUUCCCUAAGCCCACUGGACAUCAUCCCCUUGCGGACCUAACCACUUCACCCCAAGGAACUCAGCACAGUGUGGGCUUGCCAGCCACACAACCAUAGGCUCAUCAUUAAAGCUCUCUGAACCCUCUGCUUCCCCUUCUGUAAAAGGAAUAUUAAGUCCUCUACCUUCCCUGGAGCAUUUAAAGAAUAUACCAAAGUACGCACAAAAAUAUAUAGAAAGUGACAUGAAAGUGGUAUAGCCUUCCCUACUAUACCCCUGACCCCAAAAGUUUUCAGAGA
rnacentral:lncRNA from 10 species